UACGGAGGGUGAAAGAGUUAAUCGGAAUUACUGGGCGUAAAGCGUGCGUAGGCGGUGAUGGAAGUCAGGUGUGAAAACCCCGGGCUCAACCUGGGAAUUGCAUAUGAAACUGAAUGACUGGAGUGCGGCAGAGGGAAGCGGAAUUCCCGGUGUAGCGGUGAAAUGCGUAGAUAUAGGGAAGAACACCAGUGGCGAAAGCGGCCUCCUGGAACAGCACUGACGCUCAGGAACGAAAGCGUGGGGAGCAAACAGG
rnacentral:rRNA from 1 species